GACGAACGCUGGCGGCGUGCUUAACACAUGCAAGUCGAACGGUGAAGCCUUCGGGUGGAUCAGUGGCGAACGGGUGAGUAACACGUGGGCAAUCUGCCCUGCACUCUGGGACAAGCCCUGGAAACGGGGUCUAAUACCGGAUAUUACCUGUCCUCGCAUGGGGAUGGGUGGAAAGCUCCGGCGGUGCAGGAUGAGCCCGCGGCCUAUCAGCUUGUUGGUGGGGUGAUGGCCUACCAAGGCGACGACGGGUAGCCGGCCUGAGAGGGCGACCGGCCACACUGGGACUGAGACACGGCCCAGACUCCUACGGGAGGCAGCAGUGGGGAAUAUUGCACAAUGGGCGGAAGCCUGAUGCAGCGACGCCGCGUGAGGGAUGACGGCCUUCGGGUUGUAAACCUCUUUCAGCAGGGAAGAAGCGUGAGUGACGGUACCUGCAGAAGAAGCACCGGCUAACUACGUGCCAGCCGCCGCGGUAA
rnacentral:rRNA from 1 species